GACGAACGCUGGCGGCGUGCUUAACACAUGCAAGUCGAACGGAAAGGCCCUGCUUUUGUGGGGUGCUCGAGUGGCGAACGGGUGAGUAACACGUGAGUAACCUGCCCUUGACUUUGGGGUAACUUCAGGAAACUGGGGCUAAUACCGGAUAGGAGCUCCUGCUGCAUGGUGGGGGUUGGAAAGUUUCGGCGGUUGGGGAUGGACUCGCGGCUUAUCAGCUUGUUGGUGGGGUAGUGGCUUACCAAGGCUUUGACGGGUAGCCGGCCUGAGAGGGUGACCGGCCACAUUGGGACUGAGGUACGGCCCAGACUCCUACGGGAGGCAGCAGCGGGGAGUAUUGCGCAGUGGGCGGGAGCCUGAUGCAGCAACGCCGCGUGCGGGAUGACGGCCUUCGGGUUGUGAACCGCUUUCGCCUGUGACGAAGCGUGAGUGACGGUAAUGGGUAAGGAAGCACCGGCUAACUACGUG
rnacentral:rRNA from 1 species